rnacentral:rRNA from 1 species
GCGUUGCUCGGAAUCACUGGGCGUAAAGGGCGCGUAGGCGGCCAUUCAAGUCGGGGGUGAAAGCCUGUGGCUCAACCACAGAAUUGCCUUCGAUACUGUUUGGCUUGAGUUUGGUAGAGGUUGGUGGAACCGCGAGUGUAGAGGUGAAAUGCGUAGAUAUUCGCAAGAACACCAGUGGCGAAGGCGGCCAACUGGACCAACACUGACGCUGAGGCGCGAAAGCGUG